ACCUCGUCACACAGGGUCGUCGGACAAACAAGCAGCAGAAGCACGCUUUCGGCUCUCAAAUCGCACGCGGUCGCAAGCCGACGAACCCCGGAGAGAGAGAGAGACCGAGAGAGACGGACGAGGGGUGUCGCCGGCGAAGAUGAUUAUCCCCGUCCGCUGCUUCACCUGCGGCAAGGUGAUCGGAAACAAGUGGGACCAGUAUCUCGAUCUCCUCCAGGCUGAUUAUCCAGAAGGGGAUGCUCUUGAUGCAUUGGGAUUGGUCCGAUAUUGUUGUAGGCGAAUGCUGAUGACUCAUGUUGACCUCAUUGAGAAGCUUUUGAACUACAAUACCCUGGAGAAGUCUGAAACCAGUUGACAUGGAAUUACCAGUGAAGGAUGUUCUGCAGCAUGUCGCUUGAACUGUUGGGCUCAUGUGUUUCUGCCUAGAAAUGCUUUGGUAUCUUCUAAUUGAAUGAUAUCUUGAGAUGUAGAUGUGGUGUUGACAUAUUCUGGACUGAGUUUCAUGCGGUCUUGUGCUUUCUCCUAUUGUUCUUUGAAGCGGCACUCGGUAUAUCAUUUGGGUUAUUACCCUUUUGUAUAAAUCCAGUAGCCUGAAAGAUGUCCUCAUUUUGAUUUGUGUAGAAGCUUUAAAGGACCGAGAAGCAGAAUAUUGAGACAAUUUGUGGCAUCAAGCAGUCAUCUAAAGAUUCGAGUCAUUAAGGAGGAUAUGUAGUAUGCUUUAUU